rnacentral:rRNA from 1 species
UAUGUAGGGUGCAAGCGUUAAUCGGAAUUACUGGGCGUAAAGCGUGCGCAGGCGGUUGUGUAAGACAGAUGUGAAAUCCCCGGGCUCAACCUGGGAACUGCAUUUGUGACUGCACAGCUGGAGUGCGGCAGAGGGGGAUGGAAUUCCGCGUGUAGCAGUGAAAUGCGUAGAUAUGCGGAGGAACACCGAUGGCGAAGGCAAUCCCCUGGGCCUGCACUGACGCUCAUGCACGAAAGCGUGGGGAGCAAACAGG